rnacentral:lncRNA from 1 species
CUUUAACUCUCAAGGGCCAGGUUAACAAUAUCCAAAGGCCUGGAUAGCUUAGUUGGUUAGAGCGUGGUGCUGAUAGUGUCAAGGUUGCAGGUUCGAUCCUUGUAUGAGACGGUUGCAUAUCCCUGCAUUGCAGGGGGUUGGACGAGAUGGUCCUCAGGAAUUCCUUCCAAUUCUGGAAUUCUAAAGUUCAAUUCACUGCAUUUCUACACCAGUUUGCAAUAAAAAAUAAACAGCCCUCGUGAAAAUUGACCCAUUUCACAGAAUCACAGAUUUGUGGGGUUCAGAGAGACCCCAAGAAUCACCUGCAAUGCUGGAAUAACAGCUCAAGAAUCCCUGAUAGAUGGCUGUCCAAGCUCUGUUUGGAAACCUCCAAUGAAGGAGAUUCCACCACAUUCCGAGGUCGUGUGGUGUAGUGGUUAAGAGCGGUAGACUCGUAAUCUGGUGAACCGGGUUUGCUUCCCCGCUCCUCCACAUGCAGCUGCUGGGUGACCUUGGGCUAGUCACACUUCUCUGAAGUCUCUCAGCCCCACUCACCUCACAGAGUGUUUGUUGUGGGGGAGGAAGGAAAAGGAGAAUGUUAGCCGCUUUGAAACUCCUUAGGGUAGUGAUAAAGCGGGAUAUCAAAUCCAAACUCCUCCUCUUCUUCUUCUUCGUCCCUUCCACUGUCGAACAGCUCCUGCCCUCAUAAAGUUCUUCCUAAUGUUUGGUCAGGAUUUCCUUUCUUGCCAUUUGAAUCCGUUGGUUCAGGUCCUCCCCCUCUGGAGCAUCAAGAAACGAGCUUGCUCCAUCUUCCA